UACGGAGGGUGCAAGCGUUAUCCGGAUUCACUGGGUUUAAAGGGUGCGUAGGUGGGUUGGUAAGUCAGUGGUGAAAUCUCCAGGCUUAACUUGGAAACUGCCAUUGAUACUAUCAAUCUUGAAUACCGUGGAGUCAGCGGAAUAUGUCAUGUAGCGGUGAAAUGCUUAGAUAUGACAUAGAACACCAAUUGCGAAGGCAGCUGGCUACACGAAUAAUUGACACUGAUGCACGAAAGCGUUGGGGAUCAAACAGGA
rnacentral:rRNA from 1 species